AACGAACGCUGGCGGCAGGCCUAACACAUGCAAGUCGAACGCUUCAGCAAUGAAGAGUGGCAGACGGGUGAGUAACGCGUGGGAACCUUCCCAGUGGUACGGAAUAGCCCAGGGAAACUUGGGGUAAUACCGUAUAAGCCCUUCGGGGAAAGAUUUAUCGCCAUUGGAUGGGCCCGCGUCGGAUUAGCUUGUUGGUGAGGUAAAAGCUCACCAAGGCGACGAUCCGUAGCUGGUCUGAGAGGAUGAUCAGCCACACUGGGACUGAGACACGGCCCAGACUCCUACGGGAGGCAGCAGUGGGGAAUAUUGGACAAUGGGCGCAAGCCUGAUCCAGCCAUGCCGCGUGAGUGACGAAGGCCUUAGGGUUGUAAAGCUCUUUUGGCGGGGACGAUAAUGACGGUACCCGCAGAAUAAGCUCCGGCUAACUUCGUG
rnacentral:rRNA from 1 species